ensembl:lncRNA LINC01491 long intergenic non-protein coding RNA 1491
GUUCACACUCAGGCCUGUGACCACAGAAAAAGUAGCCAGCCCACCAUCCCUAGAUGAUUUUGCAGUCUUUGCACACCAGUGUGGCCAUAGGCUUGUUUUCUCCUGGACUGAGCCUGCAGAUCCUAUGAGCAAGCAUAUGUCCUGUGCUCCACUAGUCCUAGCUGGAUCGUGGACAUAUUACCAUCAUUACAAAUAUCAAUAGUUUGUGAUUACUUCAAACAAUCUGAAGUUGAAGGACCCCAGAUAUCCUUCAAAACAGGAAUCUGCAGGCAGAUGCUGAAACCAUGAAUACAGAGGGACAACUAUGUAAGCUCGUUAACGCUGACAUAGUUUUAUGAAUGCAAACAGCCAAGGAGAGCAGAUGUUGAGUGGUUGCCAGAGUGAAAUGAGGAAGCCCUGCUGCCAGCUUCCCACCAAAAAGCAGGUGCUUAGACCAUUUUAUUUAAAACCAGCUCUUUGAAUGCACUAUGUGCUGAAUAAAUAUCACUAAAAUA